rnacentral:rRNA from 1 species
UUUAUGGAGAGUUUGAUCCUGGCUCAGGAUGAACGCUGGCGGCGUGCCUAAUACAUGCAAGUCGAGCGAACGGACGAGAAGCUUGCUUCUCUGAUGUUAGCGGCGGACGGGUGAGUAACACGUGGAUAACCUACCUAUAAGACUGGGAUAACUUCGGGAAACCGGAGCUAAUACCGGAUAAUAUUUUGAUCUGCAUGGUUCAAAAGUAAAAGACGGUCUUGCUGUCACUUAUAGAUGGAUCCGCGCUGCAUUAGCUAGUUGGUAAGGUAACGGCUUACCAAGGCAACGAUGCAUAGCCGACCUGAGAGGGUGAUCGGCCACACUGGAACUGAGACACGGUCCAGACUCCUACGGGAGGCAGCAGUAGGGAAUCUUCCGCAAUGGGCGAAAGCCUGACGGAGCAACGCCGCGUGAGUGAUGAAGGUCUUCGGAUCGUAAAACUCUGUUAUUAGGGAAGAACAUAUGUGUAAGUAACUGUGCACAUCUUGACG